rnacentral:rRNA from 1 species
GACUCUCGACAACGGAUAUCUCGGCUCUCGCAUCGAUGAAGAACGUAGCGAAAUGCGAUACUUGGUGUGAAUUGCAGAAUCCCGCGAACCAUCGAGUCUUUGAACGCAAGUUGCGCCCGAAGCCAUUAGGCCGAGGGCACGUCUGCCUGGGCGUCA